rnacentral:rRNA from 1 species
CCCUACGGGGGGCAGCAGUGAGGAAUAUUGGUCAAUGGGCUUACGCCUGAACCAGCCAAGUCGCGUGAGGGAAGACUGCCCUAUGGGUUGUAAACCUCUUUUGUCAGGGAGCAACGCCGGCUACGUGUAGCCGGACUGAGAGUACCUGAAGAAAAAGCAUCGGCUAACUCCGUGCCAGCAGCCGCGGUAAUACGGAGGAUGCGAGCGUUAUCCGGAUUUAUUGGGUUUAAAGGGUGCGUAGGCGGAAUGCCAAGUCAGCGGUAAAAUCGCGGGGCUCAACCUCGCUCGGCCGUUGAAACUGGCGU